AGGAAGGUAGUGUAGUUAACACCUGCAUUAUUUGACGUUACCUACAGAAGAAGCACCGGCUAACUCCGUGCCAGCAGCCGCGGUAAUACGGGAGGGUGCGAGCGUUAAUACGGAAUUACUGGGACGUAAAGACGCAUGCAGGCGGCCUGUUAAGUCAGAUGUAGAAAGGCCCGGGGACCGUUAACCGUACGGUAAAGUUGCUAUUUAGUAAACUAGGCGAGGCUAGAGUCUUGUAGAGGGGGGUAGGAAUUUCAGGUGUAGCGGUGAAAUGCGUAGAGAUCUGAAGGAAUACCAGUGGCGAAGGCGGCCCCCUGGACAAAGACUGACGCUCAGAUGCGAAAGCGUGGGGAGCAAACAGGAUUAGAUACCCUGGUAG
rnacentral:rRNA from 1 species